rnacentral:sRNA from 1 species
AAGGAAAUCGUCGCCGGCGCGACUUCGGCGCCGC